rnacentral:rRNA from 1 species
CCUACGGGAGGCAGCAGUGAGGAAUAUUGGACAAUGGGCGCAAGCCUGAUCCAGCCAUGCCGCGUGCAGGAUGACGGUCCUAUGGAUUGUAAACUGCUUUUAUACGAGAAGAAACACCCCUACGUGUAGGGACUUGACGGUAUCGUAAGAAUAAGGAUCGGCUAACUCCGUGCCAGCAGCCGCGGUAAUACGGAGGAUCCAAGCGUUAUCCGGAAUCAUUGGGUUUAAAGGGUCCGUAGGCGGUUUAGUAAGUCAGUGGUGAAAUCUCCCCGCUCAACGGGGAAACGGCCAUUGAUACUGCUAGACUUGAAUUAUUAGGAAGUAACUAGAAUAUGUAGUGUAGCGGUGAAAUGCUUAGAGAUUACAUGGAAUACCAAUUGCGAAGGCAGGUUACUACUAAUGGAUUGACGCUGAUGGACGAAAGCGUGGGUAGCGAACAGGAUUAGAUACCCUGGUAGUCCACGCCGUAAACGAUGGAUACUAGCUGUGGUGUNAACUACAGUGNGUAGACGAAGUAGAUAAGUAAGUACCACCGUACGGGAGGUACGUUACGUCGAAGAAGUAGUAAACGUUAACGAAAGUAAAGUUAAGUUAGGACGUUGAGACGUGCCGACGGACGACGACGAGGGAGGAGGAG